GACGAACGCUGGCGGCGUGCUUAACACAUGCAAGUCGAACGGAAAGGCCCUGCUUUUGUGGGGUGCUCGAGUGGCGAACGGGUGAGUAACACGUGAGUAACCUGCCCUUGACUUUGGGAUAACUUCAGGAAACUGGGGCUAAUACCGGAUAGGAGCUCCUGCUGCAUGGUGGGGGUUGGAAAGUUUCGGCGGUUGGGGAUGGACUCGCGGCUUAUCAGCUUGUUGGUGGGGUAGUGGCUUACCAAGGCUUUGACGGGUAGCCGGCCUGGGAGGGUGACCGGCAACUUGGGCGCGGGGAACCGGCCCAGACCCUCAGGGAGGGCAGAAGGGGGAAAAGUUCAAAAAGGGGCGAAACCCGGAGGGAGCAACCCCGGGGGGGGGGGGCCGGCUUUCGGGUGGUAACCCGCUUUCCCCUGGGACGAAGGGGGAGUGACGGUAAUGGGUAAAGAAGCACCGGCUAACUACGU
rnacentral:rRNA from 1 species